rnacentral:rRNA from 1 species
AGUGAACGCUGGCGGUAGGCCUAACACAUGCAAGUCGAACGGCAGCACAGUAAGAGCUUGCUCUUACGGGUGGCGAGUGGCGGACGGGUGAGGAAUACAUCGGAAUCUACUUUUUCGUGGGGGAUAACGUAGGGAAACUUACGCUAAUACCGCAUACGACCUACAGGUGAAAGCAGGGGAUCUUCGGACCUUGCGCGAUUGAAUGAGCCGAUGUCGGAUUAGCUAGUUGGCGGGGUAAAGGCCCACCAAGGCGACGAUCCGUAGCUGGUCUGAGAGGAUGAGCAGCCACACUGGAACUGAGACACGGUCCAGACUCCUACGGGAGGCAGAAGUGGGGAAUAUUGGACAAUGGGCGCAAGCCUGAUCCAGCCAUACCGCGUGGGUGAAGAAGGCCUUCGGGUUGUAAAGCCCUUUUGUUGGGAAAGAAAAGCAGCAGGUUAAUACCCCGCUGUUCUGACGGUACCCAACGAAUAAGCACCGGCUAACUUCGUG